rnacentral:rRNA from 1 species
AGGGAAUAUUGGACAAUGGGGGCAACCCUGAUCCAGCCAUGCCGCGUGAGUGAAGAAGGCCCUCGGGUUGUAAAGCUCUUUUGUCCGGAAAGAAAAGCUUCGGGUUAAUACCCCGGGGUUCUGACGGUACCGGAAGAAUAAGCACCGGCUAACUUCGUGCCAGCAGCCGCGGUAAUACGAAGGGUGCAAGCGUUACUCGGAAUUACUGGGCGUAAAGCGUGCGUAGGUGGUUGUUUAAGUCUGAUGUGAAAGCCCUGGGCUCAACCUGGGAAUGGCAUUGGAAACUGGCAAGCUCGAGUGCGGCAGAGGGGGGUGGAAUUCCGCGUGUAGCAGUGAAAUGCGUAGAGAUGCGGAGGAACACCGAUGGCGAAGGCAGCCCCCUGGGCCGACACUGACGCUCAGGCACGAAAGCGUGGGGAGCAAACA